rnacentral:rRNA from 1 species
GACGAACGCUGGCGGCGUGCUUAACACACGCAAGUCGAACGGUAAGGCCCUUCGGGGUACACGAGUGGCGAACGGGUGAGAAACACGUGGGUGAUCUGCCCUGCACUUCGGGAUAAGCGUAGGAAACUGGGUCUAAUAACGGAUAGGACCACUGCCUGCAUGGGAGGGGGUGGAAAGCUUUUGCGGUGUGGGAUGGGCCCGCGGCCUAUCAGCUUGUUGGUGGGGUGAUGGCUUACCAAGGCGACGACGGGUAGCCGGCCUGAGAGGGUGACCGGCGACCCGGGGACUGAGAUACGGCGCAGAGGCGUACGGGGGGCAGCGGGGGGAAAGAUGGCACAGUGGGCGCAAGUGUGUUGCGGAGACGCCGGGUGAGGGAUGACGGCCUUCGGGUUGUAAACCUGUUUCAGCACCGACGAAGCGUGAGUGACGGUAGGUGCAGAAGAAGGACCGGCCAACUACGUGCCAGCAGCCGCCGUAA